rnacentral:rRNA from 1 species
GAUGAACGCUGGCGGCGUACCUAAUACACGCAAGUCGAGCGAAUGGAUUAAGAGCUUGCUCUUAUGAAGUUAGCGGCGGACGGGUGAGUAACACGUGGGUAACCUGCCCAUAAGACUGGGAUAACUCCGGGAAACCGGGGCUAAUACCGGAUCACAUUUUGAACCGCAUGGUUCGAAAUUGAAAGGCGGCUUCGGCUGUCACUUAUGGAUGGACCCGCGUCGCAUUAGCUAGUUGGUGAGGUAACGGCUCACCAAGGCAACGAUGCGUAGCCGACCUGAGAGGGUGAUCGGCCACACUGGGACUGAGACACGGCCCAGACUCCUACGGGAGGCAGCAGUAGGGAAUCUUCCGCAAUGGACGAAAGUCUGACGGAGCAACGCCGCGUGAGUGAUGAAGGCUUUCGGGUCGUAAAACUCUGUUGUUAGGGAAGAACAAGUGCUAGUUGAAUAAGCUGGCACCUUGACGGUACCUAACCAGAAAGCCACGGCUAACUACGUGCCAGCCGCCGCCGUAA